GCACUUCUGAAGAGUCUCACAAUUGGAUGAAACGGCCGUCCAGUAC
rnacentral:hammerhead_ribozyme from 1 species